CGGAAAAUAGUAUAAAUUAUUACCAGGUGCUUACAACACUUAAAUAGAAAGGUUUUUCUUUUUCCGA
rnacentral:tRNA from 2 species